rnacentral:rRNA from 1 species
GAUGAACGCUGGCGGCGUGCUUAACACAUGUAAGUCGAACGAAGCAUUUGCGACAGAUUUUUUCGGAAUGAAGUUGCUUAUGACUGAGUGGCGGACGGGUGAGUAACGCGUGGGUAACCUGCCUUGUACUGGGGGAUAGCAGCUGGAAACGGCUGGUAAUACCGCAUAAGCGCACAAUGUUGCAUGACAUGGUGUGAAAAACUCCGGUGGUAUAAGAUGGACCCGCGUCUGAUUAGCUAGUUGGUGAGAUAACAGCCCACCAAGGCGACGAUCAGUAGCCGACCUGAGAGGGUGACCGGCCACAUUGGGACUGAGACACGGCCCAGACUCCUACGGGAGGCAGCAGUGGGGAAUAUUGCACAAUGGAGGAAACUCUGAUGCAGCGACGCCGCGUGAGUGAAGAAGUAAUUCGUUAUGUAAAGCUCUAUCAGCAGGGAAGAUAGUGACGGUACCUGACGAAGAAGCUCCGGCUAAAUACGUG